UAGCGACGACCUUUCGUGCAUUCCUCUUCAAUUAUUGGCACAAGAGCCUCUUUUGCCUUGGCCAAGUUGUCGGUUUCUUGUACUGUAUACCUACAUCAAAGGAAUUUGUUGGACAAUACAUCUCAAGUUUUUCCAUUGCUGCCUGAUUACUCGGUGCGGCAUCGGGCAAACCUUAAAGCAAAAUUCGUGUCCCGAAUUGUGUACAAAUUGCUAUGCAGUCUCGGCCCAAAAGCUUAGCUUGAUUUCGGGGAUUCAGAAAACAAUGCAUGUAAGGGUCGGAUAACCCUCUAUUUGCCCACG
rnacentral:misc_RNA from 1 species